ensembl:lncRNA
UUCUGAUAACCGUGCCCAGCUGAUCUUCCAUAAUAUUGCAUGAGGCUGCAGUUCCACCAACUGUGGACGAGAGCUCACCACUCUGCUGCCAGUGCCAGCUGCCCUGAUGGUGAGCUGAGCCCCAAGGGAACUCAGGAUGGAGACACAAUGCCCGCCCUCUUGUCUCCGUGAUGAUGGCUGAUCAAGCCACCAGCCACUGCAGCCACCCCCGAGGGUGCACCUUGAGGAGACAUCAGAUGAGAAAGAACAAAGAACCCUGGCCCCAGAGAGCUAAGUAAUCUUCUGAAGUUCCGACUGCCUCGUGUUUGUUGCAAAAGCUCCUCCCCAUUCUGGCUCCUGCCUUGCCUCUGUGGAGCAGGACUUCAGAGCUACCUGAGAGGCUGCAUCCUGGGCUAUCGUCCUCAGGUCCUUCCCUGGUGGUGCAGUGGUUGAGAAUUCACCUUCCAAUGCAGCAGUGGAGGUUCUGAUCCCUGGUCGGGGAACGGCGAUCCCACGUGCCGCAGAGCUACUGAGCAGGCAGGCUUCAACUGCUGACCCCACGCCACGACUGGAGAGUCCGUGCACGACAACGAAAGAUCCCACAUGACACAGCUCAGACCUGAUACACUCAAGAGUACAUCGUGAGAAACGCUGGGCUAGAAGAAGCACAAGCUGGAAUCAAGAUUGCUGGGAGAAAUAUCGAUAACCUCAGAUAUGCAGAUGACACCACCCUUAUGGCAGAAAGUGAAGAAGAACUAAAAAGCCUUGAUGAAAGUGAAAGAGGAGAGUGAAAAGGUUGGCUUAAAGCUCAACAUUCAGAAAACUAAGAUCAUAACCCUGUAUGCGAGACAGCAAAAGAGACACAGAUGUGUAGAACAGUUUUUUGGACUCUGUGGGAGAGGG